rnacentral:rRNA from 1 species
UGGGGAAUAUUGCACAAUGGGCGAAAGCCUGAUGCAGCAAUGCCGCGUGUGUGAAGAAGGCCUGCGGGUUGUAAAGCACUUUCGGUAGGGAAGAUAAUGACGGUACCUACAGAAGAAGCACCGGCUAACUCCGUGCCAGCAGCCGCGGUAAUACGGAGGGUGCGAGCGUUAAUCGGAAUUACUGGGCGUAAAGGGCUCGUAGGCGGCCAACUAAGUCAGACGUGAAAUCCCUCGGCUUAACCGGGGAACUGCGUCUGAUACUGGAUGGCUUGAAUCCGGGAGAGGGAUGUGGAAUUCCAGGUGUAGCGGUGAAAUGCGUAGAUAUCUGGAGGAACACCGGUGGCGAAGGCGGCAUCCUGGACCGGUAUUGACGCUGAGUGAGCGAAAGCCAGGGGAGCAAACGGGAUUAGAUACCCCCGUAGUCCCUGAGCGGGCUGGCAAGGCGCAU